ensembl:lncRNA
GUCUUUUAACAUAUCGCAAUGGAAGGGUAGUUUAUGUGGAUAAACUGGCACAAGCCACUAGAGAUGCUACACAAGAUAUGUGGGAUUUAUUAGACAUUGUAACUUAGGAACCAAGAGCAGAUACAGGGAGAGUUCCUAAAAUGUAUGAUAUCUAUAGCUGGCAGGAAUAUGCUUCAAAACUGAAAGCAGCGAUUGCCAAGGCAGGGAGACAUGUGGCGAAUGUUUCUGAAAACUGCAGUAUACAAGUUGCAGCUAUUUCUCCUGGGGACCUGGAGGAAACUGAGGAUGAGUGGGGCUCAAGACAUCGUGGAACAACAAAAGAAGGGACUGGUUCCUGUGGUUGGCCAGCCCUCUGCUUCAGCAUUUCGCUGUUAUCAUUGCCAGCGCGAUGGUCACUACGCAAACAGGAUUGAACCUUUGAAUGUUUCAGGUCCUAUACAUCCUCCAGUAUUUCAGUAUCGUCUUCGGAGAGAAGCAGAGAGAGCUGCACAGGAAAUUGUGAACCAGCUUCAGGAAUCAGGGAUUUUGGUAAGGUGUACUUCCUCAAUGAACUUACCUAUGCAGCCUGUGAAAAAAAAAAAAAAACAGAUGGUAGCUGUAGAUUAACUCUAUACUACACCGCAUUGAAUGCUGUGACCCCUAAAAUAACCCCUAUUGUUGCUAAUCCGUCAACCAUUCUUAAUGACAUUUCUCCAAACCAUCGCUAUUUUAACACAGUAGACAUAACCAAUGGUUUUUGGUCUUGUCCUAUCAGAUAGGAAGAUCAAUACAGAUUUGCCUUUACCUGUAAUGGCGUACAAUUAACCUGGCGCCGCCUCCCACAGGGCUUUUGCGAUAGCCCCUCCCACUUCCAUGGAGUCGUUAGUAACGCAAUUUCAAAAGUCGUUAACUUGUGCGCACCGUCUAUUAUUGUUCAAUAUUGUGACUACAUUCUUCUCGCAUCUCAAGAUAAAGCACAACACUUGAGUGGACUCACUCGGUUGUUGAAAAUACUCCAAGAGGCGGGUUUCCUCUUGAACAAACAAAAGGUGCAAUUGUUUCAAUCGGAAGUUACAUUUUUAGGUCAAAGUGUAGGUCGUGAGGGAAAGAGACCUUUUCCAGACCGGGUCAUAGCCAUCACUCAAUUGAAUAAGCCAACCACAGUAACUGGUUUAAGAUCAUUAAUGGGGCUAUUUAAUUUUAAUCGGAUGUAUAUCCCAGAUUUUUCUGAUUUGGCUAAACCUCUAACAGAGGCUCUUAAAGGAGGCCUUCCGGGUGCUUCCCCUUUGGAGUGGACAGCAGACAUGGCUGAGUCCUUUACUCUCCUCAAAUCCGCAUUAGCCUCCUCUCCCGCGUUACAUCACCCCGACAUGACAAAGGCAUUCCAUGUAUGGACACAUGUUGGGCCAAGUGCUUAUAACUGUCACGAAACGCACACAGACAGGUAGAUCCAAUUGCAGUAA